rnacentral:rRNA from 1 species
AUUGAACGCUGGCGGCAGGCUUAACACAUGCAAGUCGAGCGGGGGAAGGUAGCUUGCUACCGGACCUAGCGGCGGACGGGUGAGUAAUGCUUAGGAAUCUGCCUAUUAGUGGGGGACAACAUCUCGAAAGGGAUGCUAAUACCGCAUACGUCCUACGGGAGAAAGCAGGGGAUCUUCGGACCUUGCGCUAAUAGAUGAGCCUACGUCGGAUUAGCUAGUUGGUGGGGUAAAGGCCUACCAAGGCGACGAUCUGGAGCGGGUCUGAGAGGAUGAUCCGCCACACUGGGACUGAGACACGGCCCAGACUCCUACGGGAGGCAGCAGUGGGGAAUAUUGGGCAAUGGGGGGAACCCUGAUCCAGCCAUGCCGCGUGUGUGAAGAAGGCCUUAUGGUUGUAAAGCACUUUAAGCGAGGAGGAGGCUACUUUAGUUAAUACCUAGAGAUAGUGGACGUUACUCGCAGAAUAAGCACCGGCUAACUCUGUGCCAGCCGCCGCGGUAA